GAAUAAUCGUGCCAUCCCAAAUGAUCUAUUUUUGCGUACAAUCUGAGCAUCAAUUAGGCAGAAUUUACCGUAUCGUCCGACCCGUUCCCGUUCCACCGGAGGCUGGCAAGCAAAGCGUUUCGCUACUUACGUCUACCUCGUUCAAGAGUCUCUCCUUGUCGGGGGCCGGCAGGGCAGCGGACCAGUCGAUUAGGAUCAUCAGAACCGUGGCCAGGAACACGGCGACUCUUAGCGACGACAUGAUCUCUUCAAGUCUGCAACAAUCAUUUCCCAAGACUCUGUUACACAUCGUGCAAUCCACUCCAAUCGCGGACCCCAUCGAUCUCUUAUGCAGGAAGAACAAAUAACGAAGGUACAACGUGAUAUACCGUAGGAAAUCUCAGCGGGCGUCCGUUCGCUGUCGAGCUCGACUCCGGUUGCUAAUGAACGCCUGGACUGGCUGUAAUUAUACAAGAGGCUCGAUAAAGAUCCCGAGCUCCACGGAGCUAUCACGGCAGCUCCAAAAGCAGCCGUUUCAUAUCAGUUUAUAAAAGUAACAACAAUAAGACGUCUAUUCCGAUUUUUAACGAACGUCAUUGUAAUAUUCGCAACAAGCUCUUUUAAUGCGUUACUUGUAACACAUACGUCGAAUAACAGCAUAUACAUAUAUUGAAUAAAUAACUCGUAAAUGUA